rnacentral:rRNA from 1 species
AACGAACGCUGGCGGCAUGCCUAACACAUGCAAGUCGAACGAGACCUUCGGGUCUAGUGGCGCACGUGUGCGUAACGCGUGGGAACCUGCCCUUAGGUUCGGAAUAACUCCCCGAAAGGGGUGCCAAUACCGGAUAAUGUCUUCGGACCAAAGAUUUAUCGCCUUUGGAUGGGCCCGCGUUGGAUUAGCUAGUUGGUAGGGUAAAAGCCUACCAAGGCGACGAUCCAUAGCUGGUCUGAGAGGAUGAUCAGCCACACUGGGACUGAGACACGGCCCAGACUCCUACGGGAGGCAGCAGUGGGGAAUAUUGGACAAUGGGCGAAAGCCUGAUCCAGCAAUGCCGCGUGAGUGAUGAAGGCCUUAGGGUUGUAAAGCUCUUUUACCCGGGAUGAUAAUGACAGUACCGGGAGAAUAAGCUCCGGCUAACUCCGUG